AAGAGCACAUUCUCUUUGUCUCUCAUCAUGAUUCUUCCAUCAUGGACACUAAUAAGCAUCUUAGAAGUAGUCAUGAAAGGUCUUCCAAGAAUCAUUGGAAUCCUCUCUUCAUCUUCCAUGCCUAUGACUAGAAAGUCCACUAAAAAUUCCAACCACGCACAACCACAUUUUCCACCAUACCAAGUGGCUUUUUAAUGGAACCAUCCACCACCAUCACAGUGAGAUUAGAAGGUUUUAAUGUUAGGCCAACAAUCUUUGUCGAGAAGCGCUUGGGCAUCAUAUUAAUGUUGGAUCCAGAAUCUAUGAUUGCUCCUCCUACAUCAAAAUCAUUCACAAAACAUGAAAGUUUCAAACAACCUGGAUCUUUUACCUUACGUGGAUAAUUCUUCUUUGGAGGUUGAAUAUCAAAUUCCUGGUCAUCUUCAUCUUCAUCUAAAUCUAUUAUAUCUCCAAGAUAAUAUUUCAUCCUUGCAGGAAUCCGCUUAAUUACUGAAGGCACCACAAUCACUUGGUUAUAAGUUUCUCUGUUCUGCCCAUUGUGACUAAAUCUUGCUUCCUCUUCUUCCUCACCUUCACUGCUGCUUAUCUCAAUGACUUCUCUUUCCUCCUCUUCCUCAUCACUGCUUCCAAUCUCCACAACUUCCCUUUCAUCUUUUCUUUUACUCCUUGUGACAACAGCUUUGCAUUCCUCUU
rnacentral:lncRNA from 1 species